rnacentral:tRNA from 2 species
GUCGAUGUAGCUCAGCAGGAUAGAGCAGCCGCCUCCUAAGCGGCAGGUCGGAGGUUCGAAUCCUCUUAUCGACGCCA